UCGAGAAUUUCUCUCAAUGGGCGAAAGCCUGAAGGAGCGACGCCGCGUGAGGGAUGAAGGACUUCGGUCCGUAAACCUCUGUCAUUUGCGAACAAACCUUAUCCGUGAACAACGGAUAGGCUGAUUGUAGCGAAAGAGGAAGGGACGGCUAACUCUGUGCCAGCAGCCGCGGUAAUACAGAGGUCCCAAGCGUUGUUCGGAUUCACUGGGCGUAAAGGGUGCGUAGGUGGCUGGGUAAGUUUGAUGUGAAAUCUCCGGGCUCAACCCGGAAAAUGCAUUGAAUACUAUCCAGCUAGAGGUUUGGAGGGGGGACUGGAAUUCUUGGUGUAGCAGUGAAAUGCGUAGAUAUCAAGAGGAACACCAGUGGCGAAGGCGAGUCCCUGGACAAAUCCUGACACUGAGGCACGAAAGCUAGGGGAGCAAACAG
rnacentral:rRNA from 1 species